GUUAAAAUAAUUUAAUUUUAAAAUAUUGGUUUUGUAAACCAAAUUUGGUUGUAUUAUACCUUUUAAUA
rnacentral:tRNA from 1 species